GUGGGGAAUCUUGCGCAAUGGGCGAAAGCCUGACGCAGCGACGCCGCGUGUGGGAUGAAGGUCUUCGGAUUGUAAACCACUGUCGGGAGGGACGAAGCUCUGACGGUACCUCCAAAGGAAGCACCGGCUAACUCUGUGCCAGCAGCCGCGGUAAUACAGAGGGUGCAAGCGUUGUCCGGAAUCACUGGGCGUAAAGGGCGCGUAGGCGGCCUGGUAAGUCGGGGGUGAAAUUCUGCGGCUCAACCGCAGGACGGCCUUCGAGACUGCUGGGCUCGAGCACGGUAGAGGCUGGUGGAAUUCCCGGUGUAGCGGUGGAAUGCGUAGAGAUCGGGAAGAACAUCGGUGGCGAAGGCGGCCAGCUGGGCCGUUGCUGACGCUGAGGCGCGACAGCGUGGGGAGCAAACAGGAUUAGAAACCCCGGUAGUCC
rnacentral:rRNA from 1 species